rnacentral:rRNA from 1 species
UACGUAGGGUGCAAGCGUUGUCCGGAUUUACUGGGCGUAAAGGGUGCGUAGGCGGCCUUAUAAGUACGGUGUGAAAUCUCCCGGCUUAACUGGGAGGGUGCGCUAUAGACUGUGGGGCUAGAGUGUGGGAGAGGAAAGUGGAAUUCCUGGUGUAGCGGUGAAAUGCGUAGAUAUCAGGAGGAACACCGGUGGUGUAAACGGCUUUCUGGACCAUAACUGACGCUGAGGCACGAAAGCGUGGGUAGCAAACAGG